UGUUUUUUUUUGUAACAAUUUGAUUUCUUGGUCUUCGAAAAGACAGGUUACAGUCUCACGUUCGUCGGCCGAGGCUGAGUAUCGCGCUGUGGCACAUGCCGUUGCAGAUACAAUCUGGAUUCGGCAGUUACUCUCCGAGCUACACAGGCCUAUUGAGCAGGCCACUAUUGUCUACUGUGACAACAUAUCAGCAGUCUACAUGACCAGCAAUCCAGUUCAACACCGACGCACAAAGCAUAUUGAGAUUGAUAUUCAUUUUGUUCGUGAAAAGGUUGCUCUUGGUCAGGUUCGGGUGCUUCAUGUUCCCUCUACGGCUCAGUUUGCUGACAUUUUCACCAAGGCACUGCCUACUAAGCCGUUUCAAGAUAUCUGUUUCAGUCUCAACGUCGUCGAGCCUGCCGUUGAUACUGUGGGGGGAUGUUAGAGUAGUCAUUAUGCUAUACGACUUCUAGUCCAAGUCAGUUUUGUACCCCUACCCCAAGUCGGUUUGUACCCUCUUAUAUAUUCUUGUAUGCCGCACCAAAUCAUCAAUAAGCAACAGUUUUAUUCAGCUUUCAGUGACAAUGAUGGUUUUUCCUUGUAUUCUUGACUCAAAUAACAAGCAAAACUGUCGAACAAAAAUAAAUCAGAUAACAUCUUAUGCAAAACUGAAACUCCUGGUACAAAAAUAAUAUGAGAAAACCAUAUACGUGGUACCACUAGCGAAAACUGAGAAUUUGCACUGUCGUCUCGUAGUUUCAUCCGUUCACAAAUUUAUUCACCACGAGUCAGGUGACCUGCUGCUCACAUACGCAUAGGAAUCGAUGCCCCAGCCGAUGUAAUGGUUGCGUCAAUGUUGCUAGGCAUCAACACGUUGAAGCCAUCGGCUGCUGUGGAUAUGAUCAUCCCAGGUAUCUGUGGAUGCCAGUGCAAUUCCUUCAAAUCUUUCUGGCCCUGCGUGCAGAAUAUAAUGAACAUUCUACAUGUGAUUCAACUAUGAAACAUGGCAAGUUCUCUUAAGUCUACAUGGGCGUAGCUCUGCCACUGUAUAUUGCAAGAGCGAAUAUGAUAAUAGUACGCACCUGAUGAACAAAGAGAAGUUGUGGGGGCAAAUCUUGGGGUGCAUUUGCCUGUUCUUUCAUCUUGGCUUUGAAUUCGACCUCCUCUUCUCCGUCCCUUUCCAACGAAAGAUCCCAAAUUCUGGCACAAAUUAAUUAUUAUGUUAUUAUUGCAUAGUAGUUUGAGAUGUCGGAUAUUUAGGGAAAAAGUUCGGCAAUUCGGUGCAAUCAUAAAACAUGAAUGGGAGGAGGGUGGGCAGAGUUACGUACGUCAGUUAUUUGGGACAUGGCUCACUGGGAUUAAGCCUGAAUUAGCGAGGCAUAUUCGUGUUGGAGUUUGCGCUCUGUUGUGGACUAUCUGGACUUGCAGGAAUGAUUUGGUUUUUAACAGAACAUCACGUAUUCACUUUUUGCAGGUUAUUUUCUGAGCCACGGCCGUGAUCCGUUCAUGGUCGCUACUCACUACGAUGGAGGCCAGGGAGCAUUUGGUUACUGGAUCUAUCCGCUGGGAGAUGGUAGCUCGGGAUAUCUACAACCGGUUUGGAUGGCGGUCAUGUAAUAGGAUAGGCAAUUAGUUUCCCUAUCUAUCUUUAGCCAGCCGGUUGUGGCGUCUUUAUCUUGGCUAGUCUGUGUGUUCAGCCUCUUUUAGCUCUGUGUGAGCUGUCUUUUUAUUACUUUUCAGUCGGAGACUUUGAAACCUUGUUGGAACCUUUUAUUUUGGUAAUAAGAUGGCCGUAUGCAUCAUUCUGAUGCAGAGGCCGGGGAGAUCCUCUUUUCGAAAAAAUGGACUCCAUUCCACAGACGUUAUAGGGUGCUUGUGGUACGCAAAAUGUGCUACCAAGGACUUACCAGGUUCACCGCUCUGCCAGUAAAUAAAAUCACAUCGGAGAAACAUUUGAUAUUAUAAACACGUUAACACGAAAUCCCAACCCUAUUGUGAGUUGAACACAAGGGAAACACCAAAUUAACUACUACUAGUUGAGCAGGUCCACCGGAAACCGACAAGGCGAGGACAUCGUGUUUUAUCAGCAUGGAAUUACCUCGACUGCUCUAAUAUCAUGGACUGAGAUACUGCCAUCAUCACAACCUGAUGCUAUAAGACAACCUGCAAGCCUGAAUAUGAAAUUCAGAAAAGUUGUAAUGUACUCCUGUGUAGAAGACAUUAUAGUGUGCAUAAAGGUAGCAGAUAGAGCACAUACGAAUUCCAUGAGAUCACAUUCACGUCAGAAUUGUGAACCCUAACAGGAGAAUAACAAGGUUUCCUCCCUAUACGUAUAUCCCAUAUAGCUAUCGUCCCAUCCACGGAACAAGAGGCAAACAUAUUUUCUUCUGUGGGAUUCCACUGCAAAACAUAAUUGUAGUAGCUAAUAUAUUAAACAAUAUUAUAGCUCAUAGGAUAUAUAUAAUUACAUUAUUGUGUUGCACACCUGUAGAUCUUCAACACUUGCAGAGUGUCCAACAAAUGGCUUGGUGUCUACACUCCAAUCGCUUGAAGUCGGCUCCCAAAGGUGAAUGCACUUAUUGCAAUCGCCUGCAUUUACAAAGAAUAAACUGAUCUAUGUCGAUUUCCAUAUACCCCCACCAAACUUAUUCUAUGAAUGGCGACAUCUUUAUCCCAACUGUACCAGGGAUAAGACUUUGUACACACCAGAAACUAGUCUUCCAGUAACAUUUGGACUCCAAUCAAUAGCAUAGCCUUCAUCUUUGUGGCCACUAAAUACUUUUAGAGGUACAUGAUUGUGCAUAAUGCUGUUAUCUUUAUGUGUAACUGUUCCUGGGUCUUCUAAUGAAGCAAUGAAGGAGCUGAAGUCCCACACCUGCAUAUGUAAUCAACAGAGCACGCAGCUAAUUAUAUAGCACAUGGAAGUAGACAAUGUGAUGCAUUCUGUUCCUGAGAAGGUUUUCGGAAGGAAAUAUAAUGCACAGAAUAUAUAUUCUGUUGCUGGGCAAAUAGGACACUGCCCAUGUACAUUCUGAGGCUUUUUCGUAGGGAAGUAAUGAAAAUAAUAAACUUCAGUUUGAUGUACAGUAAAAAAAGUUGAUAUAUCUCAAAAGAGCAGGGCAUGAUGUGCAGCAUAAAUUUUGUGGUUUUGAUAAAUCAGAUGUGGACUAACCGUAGUAAAUUACCUGAACAUGACCUGUGUCUCCCCAUGUAGCACAUAUUUCCGGAUUUUGAUUCAUUGAGCGUAUUCGGUUUAUCGACCCCUCAUGAGCCACCUUUUGUAACUGGUACAACAGAAUAAAUUCUAGGUUACCAAAGGGUCAUGAUGGAUUCUGCAUAAUUACUUAAAUGCCAGAAUUGUAGUUUGGCACUUCAAGAAUGAACACACAUGCAAAAUGGGCUCUGCAUCUUCAUUGAUUUCUUCAUCAUCUUCGUCGCUGCUGCUGUCACUAUCCAUAUCAUCAUCACCAUGAAGAGCUGAAGAUGGUAUUGGUUCCCGUUUCUUGCCCUUUAUGUUGGAAAGCUUAAAAAUACCAGCAUAAUUCCAUGAAGCCUUCUCGGACUGAAAGAACAAUUAGUCCAGUUCUUACGUCAGAGAGAAUGUCCACUAUUAUCACAAAAUAUAUACUAUUUGAGAUGUCGAGUGGACAAUAAUAGUUAACAAACAAAAAACAGAGGCAUAGAAGGAUCAAAACUUUCUCGUCAUGGGUCAAUAACAUAAUCAUGUAGAAUUCCAUAAACACAUCAUGUCAUUCUCAAGCUAAAAACCAACGUAACAACACUUCAUUUAAGUUAAAUGUGGUUGGAUCUACAACUGACAAAAUAGAUAAAACUCGACGAUAACAUUCUUCCCUACUUUGUUGAGAGGGGUCUGAUGGACGCGGAUCUUUGGGUCUUGGGUGUCAAUGCACCCGAAUUGGGAAAAAAAAUAAAAAUUGCAAAAUUAGUCCAAAUUCCUGAAACUUCUUGGAAACAAGGGUAUUAUACUCGUGUGAAAAGUUAUGUGAAGGAAUGACUUCCAUGAUAUUUUAGGCUGAAAAAACAAAACCGACACUAAUAAAAGGUACUAUCCACACUUUUGUACUCAAAAUUUUGUUUUUUUGUCCCAAAGUUCACAGAAGUCACUCCUUCGGGGACUUUUUAUACGAGUAUAAAACUAUACCAUUCUUGUUUCCAGAUUUUAAACAGGAUAUUAUGGCGCAUGUGUUGCGGCCAUAUUAGAGUUGUUAGGAGAUAGGAAAAUCAAUCCAACACUUAAUGUACUCUUUACAUAUCUCAAUAUGCGCUUGGCUGUCGUCAAAUGAGCUCUAGUUGGUGCAUGAAGAAACUGACACACUUUAUUUACUGCAAAGGAAAUAUCAGGCCUGGUGAGUGUCAAAUGCUGAAGUGCACCUACUAGACUUCUGUGCCUGAUGCCAUCCUCUUGAUUCAAGGGUUGACCCUCUACAAGCGAGAGUUUUUCUGAACUAGACAAUGGUGUUGAUGAUGGUUUACACCCCUGUAGACCAGCCUUACUCAAUAAAUCAGUUGCAUAUUUCUCUUGAGAAAGAUGAAGUCCACCUUCUUUCAUUUUCUUAACUUCAAUGCCAAGGAAAAAAAUGCAAAUCCCCUAAAUCUUUAAGUGCAAAUUCUGAGUUCAAAUCUUUCAAAAGUGUUGUUCCUGCUUCAUUUGCAGAACUAGUAACAAUGAUGUCAUCAACAUAUAUAAGCACAAAGAUGGAUGUAUGUGACUUGUUAUAAAUGAAUAGUGAUGUAUCAGAAUCAGAGGGAACAAAACCAAGUGCUUGCAACUUAGAGCUCAAACAAGAGUACCAUGCCCUUGCAGCUUGUUUCAAUCCAUAGAGAGAUUGAUCAAGCCUGCACACAUAAAAUGGUUUAUUUUUAUCUUCAAACCCAGGAGAUUGCCUGAUAUAAACUUCCUCUUCCAAAACACCGUGAAGAAACGCAUUUUGCACAUCUGGCUAUCUAAGGCUUCAUUCUUUGGACGCAGCAACAGGUAGAACAAGACGAACCGUGGCAGCUUUAACAAUAGGACUGAAAGUGUCCUCAUAAUCUAUGCCAUACCUCUGCUUGAACCCUUUUGCAAAAAGCCUGGCCUUGUAACGCUCUAUGGUACCAUCGGACCUUCUUUUUACUCCGAACACCCACUUGCAGUCAAUCACAUUUUUACCUGGAUGUGAACGAACCAGAUGCCAAGUAUUGUUUUUGUGAAGAGCAUGAACUUCUUUUUCCAUAUGGGAUCAGCAAGGGUCUCAUUGACAGUGUGUGGUUUUCCUGUAGAAGUGUUUGAACCUGUCAAACCAUACUUAGUUUUAUAGUUAGUUGGAUUUAAAACACCUGUUUGGAGACGUGUAUGGGGCAGUGUAGCAGGUGUAUGCGCAGAAGAUCCAGCGUCCUGCUAUGCAACAGGAUCAGCAGAUCCACCUGAUCCAGCCGAUCCCAAGGAGGCAGAGCUGCCCGCGCUCGCUAGAUCCUCUGUGGCAGAUGAGGGCGCCGCAAAAGAUCCAGGCGAACUAGUCGGAUCAGGAUCAAUCCACGCACUGGGCCCACCUGGCACAGGCGCGUCGGAAAGCAUGGCCCGCCUGGCGUAAGUGCGGGGGACCGGCGCGUAGCCCCUAGUUGGUGGAACCCGCUCAGUCGGGCUGUCCCUUGGUGGAGUCUGGCGCAGCCUGCCAGUGGGAUGUGUGGCGUUCGCAGGGUGGUGGAGAGCGGGGGAGGCAGGUGCAACACAGGGCGGCUGGUGGGGCACUGUUCUCGGGGUGGAUCCAGGCGCAGUCUGCUGCACCGAUCCCGGACGAGAUCCAGGCGCAGGUUGCUACACCGAUCCCGAAUACGAUUGCGUCGGAUCUGGUGUGUCCAUGCCAGGAUGAUUUUGUGCAUCGUUUUGAACAAUUCAUCAUUCAUCACACCAUUUUCUGCCAUGCUAAUCUCUUUAGAAGAAGACUCAUGUGAAGCCAAAGAGGAGUUAGUCAACAUUGGAUCAUCACCAAGGAGAUGGCAAGGAAGAAGAAGAAAUUCGUUGUUGAGAAGAGCACCGGCAUUGGGAUGAAGCUUUUCAAAGGGAAAUUGAGUUUCAUAAAAGACAACAUCACGAGAGAUGUAAACACGACCAGUGAACACGUCUAGUCAUUUGACACCCUUAUGUUGAGAACUGUAGCCGAGAAAGACACAUUGCUUGGAACCAAACAUGAGUUUGCUAGUGUUAUAGGGACGAAGGUUAGUCCAGCAAGCACAACCAAAAACUCUAAGGGUGUAGUCUGGUGUGACAUGUAAUAGACGUUCAGUAGGAGUUUCAUUGGAGAUGGUAUGACUGGGCCACAUAUUGAUGAGAUGAACUGCAGUAAGGAAAGCUUCAUCCCAAAAUUUUAAUGGCAUUGGAUGCCGCAGCUAGAAUAGCUAAGCCUACUUCAACAAUAUGUCUAUUUUUUCGUUCAACAUAACCAUUUUGUUGAUGUGCAUGUGGACAUGAGACAUGAUGUGAGAUGCCUAUUUGUUGAAAGAAGAGGUUUAACUUUUCAAAUUCACCACCCCAAUCUGAUUGCAUGGCAAGGAUCUUGCUAUAAAUUUUGCGUUCAACAAUGGCUUAAAAAUUAUGAAAGACUUGGAAUACAUUAGAACGCUUUUUAAGAAGGUAGAUCAAGUGUAUUUGCUAAAGUCAUCAACAAAAUCAUCACAUAAUAAGAAUGUCUACCAACAGAAGUUAAACUCUUACAACACUAGUAUAAAUAUCGUGGUCAUGAUCAAAUCUACACGGCUGCAAACAGUCCAUGUAUGGAGAUAAGUCACAUGGUAAAUCAAUCAUUGAAACCCCACACACCAAUCUUGAACUCAAUGAAAUCUUGCAUGUUCCUAAUGCCUCCAAAAAUCUUUUGUUUGUCCAUCGUAUUGCUCUUGACAAUAAUGUGUUUCCAGAGUUUCACCCUUUCUUCUUUUUGAUCAAGGAUCAUGUAUUCUUCAAAGAGGUGUUUGUGUGCAAGGACUCUACUCAUUGCUUCCCAAGUAUUGCAAGUUCAAUAAACAAGUGUAUGGUGCCAUCAAGCUUUCUACUGAAAGGAGGCACAGUCAUUUAGGUCAUCCAUCUUUUUCUACUGUUCAUCAAAUUCUUAGUAGAAAUAAACUCCCAGUUGUUGGUGCGAGAAAUUCAGAAACUAUAUGUGAUUCAUGCCAAAGAGCAAAAAGUCAUCAAUUGCCCUAUCCUAUCUCUGCUAGUGUGUCUACCAAAUCCUUGCAACUUAUUUUUUUCUGAUGUUUGGGCGUCCAACACCCACUUAUGUUCGUACACAUUCUUAUUAUAUAAGUUUUGUUGAUGACUUUAGCAAAUACACUUGGAUCCACCUUCUUAAAAAAUGUUCUAAUGUAUUCCAAGUGUUUCAUAAUUUCCAAGCCCUUGUUGAAUGCAAAUUUGACAGUAAGAUCCCUGGCAUGCAAUCAGAUUGUGUUAGUGAAUAUGAAAAGUUAAACUCCUUAUUUCAACAAAUAGGCAUCUCACAUCAUGUCUCAUGUCCACAUGCACAUCAACAAAAUGGUUCCGCUGAAAGGAAACAUAGACAUAUUGUUGAAGUAGGCUUAGCUAUUCUAGCUGCAACAUCCAUGCCAUUAAAAUUUUGGGAUGAAGUUUUCCUUACUGCAGUUCAUCUUAUCAAUAUGUGGCCCAGUCGUACCAUCUCCAAUGAAACUCCUACUGAACGUCUAUUACAUGUCACACUAGACUACACCACCCUUAGAGUUGUUGGCUGUUCUUGCUGGCCAAACCUUAGGGAUCGGCGCAGCAAACUGUGCCGGGAUCCUCCCCGGGAUCGGUGCCCCACCAGCUAGACCGUGUUGCACCUGCGUCCCCCGCUCUCCGCCACCUUGCGAUCACCACGCGUCCCACUAGCGGGCCGCGCUAGACUCUACCAGGGACAGCCCGAUCGAGCGGGUUCCACCAACUGGGUGCCCGCACCGGUCCCCCACACUUAUGCCAGGCGGGCCCAGCACGCGGAUAGAUCCAGAUCCGUCUGGCUCGCCCGGAUCUUUUGCGGCGCCCUUGCCUUCUGCGCCGCCCUCAUCUUCCACAAAGGAUCAGGCGGGCGUUGGCAGCUCUGCCUCCUCGGGAUGGAUCUGCUGAUAUUGUUGCACAGCAGGACGCUGUAUCUUCUGCUCAUACACCUGCUGCACUGCCACAUCCAUGUCUCCAAACAGGUGUUUUAAAUCCAACUAACUAUAUAAAACUAAGUAUGGUUUGGCUGUUUCAAACACUUCUAUAGGAAAACCACACAUUGUCAUUGAGGCCCUUGCUAAUCCCAUAUGGAAAAAGGCUAUGGAUGAAGAAGUUCAUGCUCUUCACAAAAACAAUACUUGGCAUUUGGUUCCUUCACAUCCAGGUAAAAAUGUGAUUGACUACAAGUGGGUGUUCAGAAUAAAAAGAAGGUCUGAUGGUAUAAAUGAGACACGUAUUAUUAUGCCAAAAUAUAUAUAUUAUACAUUUUUUGUAUACAUCAGGAAUACUUUUUAUAUGCACGUUUAAAUUUUUAGAAAUACAUGAUUAACAUUUUCCAAAACAUAUAUUUUUAUGCCUAAUUUUUACAUAAAUAUUCUAUAUCUUUUGUAUACAUCAGAAAUAUUUUAUGUAUACAUAGUUAAUAUUUUUCAAAUACAUGAUUAACAUUUUUAAUACAUAUUUUUUAUGUCUACUUUUUUCAUAGACAUUCUACAUUUUUUGUAUACACAGAAAAUAUUUUUAUAUACACCUUUAACAUCAUAUAUAUAUACCUAAAUAGUUGAUUCCUACUAUCUUAAUUCUCUCAACAUGCACACAUGCCAUCUCAUUAUUCUGCUAAUCAUUUCUCUUAACAAACAUAGGAAAUGAUAUUUAUAUUCUCUCUUAACAUGCACACAUCCCAACUCACCACAUAUGCCACAUUAUCAAUCACACUAAUUAAAUUUCCCUCAACAUGCAUGAGAAAUUCCACUUAUAUUCUGUAUAUGUUUGCAACUAAAUAAUAAUCAAACUCAAUAUAUAAUAUCUACUUUAAUAUUCUAAAAAACUAUUGCAACAUAUUUUUGCAGCAAUGCGCGGAGUAUCGGUUGGGAAACGUUGCAUGGAAAAGAAAAAAAAUCUACACACAUGCAACAUUUAUCCAUGAAGACGCAUAGCAACGAGAGAAGAGAGUGUGUCUACGUACCCUCGUGGACCAUAAACGGAAGCGUUUGUUAACGCGGUUGAUGCAGUUGAACUUCUUCGCGCUCCAACCAAUCGAGUACCGAACGUUCACCUUCACGUUCAGCACACGUUCAGCUCGGUGACGUCCUCUCCUUCUUGAUCCAGCAAGACGGUGAAGUAGUGGAUGCGUUCCGGCAGCACGAUGGCGUGGUGAUGGUGAUGGUGAAGUUAUCUCCGCAGGGCUUCGCCUAACCACUACAAAAAUAUGACAGGGGAUGUAAACGGUGGAGGCGGCGCCGCAAACGGCUAAGAAAUUGUUGUAUUUGUGCUAGGCGCCAAGUAGGAGAGGACGUCACUGAGCUGAACGUGUGCUGGAUCCUACUUGGGGUCCUCCCCCAAGUGCCCCCCCUUUCCUUAUUGGAGUGCGGGAGGAAGGAAGGAGGAGGUGCCCCCCCCCCCCUUUCCUUUCUCUCCUGAGGAGGGAAAGGCAGGAGGGGCCACCCCUCCACUUACCUUCCCCUAGGGCCGGCCAUGUAGAGGGGCGCAUCAGCCCCCAAGUGGGCUGGCCUGUCCCAACUUUGGCCCAUUAAGCCCAUACACUUACAGAGGGUGUCUGGAACCCCUUCUAGCGACCCGAUGGCUACCCGGUGCACUCCGAAACUCUUCUGGUGUCCGAAUACCAUCGUCAUAUAUAUCAAUCUUUACCUCUCGACCAUUUCGAGACUCCUCAUCAUGUCCGUGAUCUCAUCCGGGACUCCGAACAACAUUCGGUCACCAAAUCAUAUAACUCAUAUAACACUAUUUUGUCAACGAACGUUAAGCGUGCGAACCCUACGGGUUCGAGAACUAUGUAGACAUGGCCGAGACACCUCUACAGUCAAUAACCAAUAGCGGAACCUGGAUGUCCAUAUUGGCACCUACAUAUUCUACGCAGAUCUUUAUCGGUGGAACCGUUAUGACAACAUAUGUAAUUCCUUUGUCUGUCGGUAUAUUACUUGCCCGAGAUUCGAUCGUCGGUAUCUUCAUACCUAGUUCAAUCUCGUUACUGGCAAGUCUCUUUACUCGUUCCGUAAUACAUCAUCUCGUUACUAACUCCUUAGUCAUUUACUUGCAAGCUUAUGAUGUGUAUUACCGUGAGGGCCCAAAGAUACCUCUCCGAUACUCGGAGUGAGAAAUGCUAAUCUCGACCUAUGCCAACUCAACAAACACCUUCGGAGAUACCUCUAGAGCAUCUUUAUGACCACCCAGUUACGUUGUGACGUUUGAUAGCACACAAGGUAUUCCUCUAGUAUCCGGGAGUUGCAUAAUCUCAUAGUCGAAGGAAUAUGUAUUGACAUGAAAAAAGCAGUAGCAAUAAACCGAACGGUCAAAAUGCAAGCUAACGGAUGGGUCUUGUCCACCACAUUAUUCUUCUAAUGAUGUGAUCCCGUUAUCAAAUGACAACACAUGUCUAUGGUUAGGAAACUUUAACCAUCUUUGAUGAAUGAGCUAAUCUACUAGAGACACGGUAUUUGUUUAUGUAUUCACACAUGUAUUUAAGUUUCCGAUCAAUACAAUUCUAGCAUGAAUAAUAAACCUUUAUCAUGAAUAAGGAAAUAUAAAAUAACAACUUUAUUAUUAUCAUUAUGGCAUAUUUCCUUCAGUAUCAUGUAGUUUUGAAAAAACAUUUUUAAAUGCAUAUUUUUUGUUUAAUUUUUCCAUAAAUAUUAUAAAAAAAAUUGUAUACAUCAAAAACAUUUUAUUGUUCAAAUAUUCCAAAUACAUUAUUAACAUUCCUAUAACAUAUAUUAUUUAUGUCUACAUUCUCCAUACACAUUCUUCAUUUUUUAUAUUCACCAGGAACAUUUUUAUAUACAAGUUUAAGAUUGUCAAAAUAGAUUAUUAACAUUUCUGAAAACUUAUAUUAUUUUAUGUCUACUUUUUUCCAUACACAUUGUAUAUUUUUUAAUACAUUUCUCUUAUAAAUCGGAAACGUUUUUAUACAAAUUUAUAAUUUUUUAAUUUAUGAUUAACAUUUUUCAGAAAAAACAAAAACUUAACUUUUUUAUUUCUACAUUUUCCUCAUACAUAUUGUACAUUUUUUGUAUAUAUUGGAAAUAUUUUUCUAUACAUUUAUAUAUCGUUUAAAUGCAUGAUUAAAUUUUUAACUUUUGUAUAUAAAGAAGAAAUACAAGAAAAAAAUAUAAAAAAAAGCAAAAUUGGAAAAAAAGGAAGAAACAAAACGUUGAAGGCUUGUGCUCACGCUGGCGGGCCCAACCGGGCGGCUGCCCGAAGCGAGACGUCCUACUGUCUCGCUCACUUCUAGAGAGACAUAGCCCCCCUCCCCUCCCUCGGUGAUUGCCGAACCGGCAUUGCCUAGACUCCCUCACUAUGUGUCGGAUUCAAAUUCGCGUAAUCCUCAAGAUCGAGCGGGCAUAACAGUGAGGGAACGACUAGUUGGGGGUUACCCUGCCGCCGCCACGUGACGUCUGUUCGUUUCUUGCAUCAGGGUGUUAUUUCUCUUGGUUUUUUGCUGUCUUUUCUGAUUUUAGAUUUUAUUUGUAGUGCUUCCACAUGAAGCAAAAUAAUGCUUCCAUGACAAAGGGAAGCAAACUAGUGCUUCACGUGAUUCGUACUAGUGCUUUCCUGUGAAACACACCCCGCGCGGGGAGCAUAGUUUGUGCUUCUUUCGGAAAGGAAAACUUAGUUUGUGUUGGAAGCACAAAUUAAUUCACACUGAAGCACGAGUUGCUACUAGCUGGAAGCAUAGAUGUUUCCUAAAAAAAGUCGAAACCUAUAAAAAUGUGAUAUAGCUUAGAAGAUCUCCACCCGAGAAAUGUUUGCGAAUUCAACAACUUUUUCAUGAACUAAAAAAAUGUUCAUGAAUCAUGAAUAAAAAAAUCACAAUUUUAAAAAAAGUUUUGAAUUCAGAAAAUAAAGGUGAAUUUAAACUAAUGUUUGCAAAUUCAAAAGAUGUUCAUGAAAUAAAAAGUGUUAUUGAAUUUAAAAGACACACAAAUUCAAAACCAGGUUCUUGAAUUAUAUGAGUUUCACUAAUUUGGAAAAUGUUCAUGAAUUUACAAAAAAUAUUUUGAAAUUCAACAAAUGCCCAAGAACUAAAAAAAGUGCACAAUCAAAAUAUGUCCCUGAAUUUGUAAAUAUUUUGUGGACUGAAAAAUGUUCACAAAAUUUGAAAAACUUUCAGAAACUUAAAAAUUGUUCAUAGAUCCACGAAAUACUUGUGAGUCUGAAAAAAUGUUCGCCCACUCAAAAUUUGAAUUUUUUUUGAUAAAUUAAAUAUAAGGAUUAAGGGAACACAAAAUGAAGUAAUAAAAAAGAAAUGAAGAAUUAAGCAAAACCUAAAAUACCAAAAAAAAACUCAAAAAGAAUGCUCAGAACCCUCCCAAAUUCGAUGGGAAGCUCACACACAAAAACAGUAAGAUGAGUCGGUCCAUGUAGCAGCCAACGUCCGUGGAGGGUGUGCGUUUGACUGGUAUCCAUUGCGUUAGCUGGCCAUAGGUGUAGCCUUCGCACCCUUUGCUUCUUUUUGUUUUAAUUUUACCUUCUUUACACACAUAUUAGUUAAUUAUCCAUGCAUUACAAUGGGGGCCUACAUAUUCUAGUGGUUCAACAUCAAUCUUAUCUGACAAAUACCUUGCGCUCACCAUAUUCAAUAUUUUGGUAAGAUUUAAUUCAAUCUGCGUAUUAGUAGGAGAAGACAAAGAAAGUUUUGGUUUAGUUAAGCCUUUGGUAAGAUUUGAUUUGAUUUGUGUAUGUAGGGAAUGCAAGAAAAGUUUUGAUUUAGUUGAGAUUUCAGUAACAUUUUAUUUAAUUUGAUUGAGUUAAUGUAGUAUGUGCUUUUUAGAAAGUAUAAAUUUGGUUAGAUUAUUUGAAAUUCCUCUAUUUCUAUUGGUUUUAUUUCUUUACAGCAUCGAUUAAGAUUAACAAAAAGAAUCAACAAGAAACAAAAGUGGGAGGGAUACAUGGGGAGAAAAAUCGGGGAGAAGGCAAGGCAAACCCACCAAUUCCCUUUCAAUAGUAGAUAUUUCAAAAUAUUCUAAAAAAUAUAAAAAUAAUAUGCAUCAAACAUUUAAAUAAAUCAUCAUAAAAGAAAAAUGUACUCACAAAAAAUGAGCAGAUACUUUUUUUUUUGCAUUUUUAAUAAAAAUAUGGCAUUUCAAAACUUUCACACAUUUAUAAAAAUGAUCAUGACAUUUAGAAAAAUAUUAUUUACCAUCCACAAAAAUGCUUACAUGCUGAAAAAAAUUAUUCAUGGCAUUCUCUCAAAAAUGUACAUGAGAAGUGAAAAAUUGUUUGACCAAUAUUUUAAAAUGUCUAUGACAUAUAAAAGCUGUUAGUAUGCAUUUAAAAACAGAGGCACAACACUUAUGAAAAUGUUCACAUGUUAAAGAAAUUGUUUGUGCAUUCAAAAAAAUGUUCACCUAUUUAAAAAAAUGUUUAUGAUUUUUUAAAAUGUUCUAGAAAUAUAAAGUUUUGUUUAUGGACUCUUUUUAAAAUAGUCAUAACAUAUACAAGAUAGUUAUACCAUUUUUUUAAGUGUUCAUUCCACUUGGAAAGCGUUCAUAAAAAUGUAAAAUUGCUAUUCCAUCAAUUUUAAAAAAUUGUUCAUGACGUGUAAAAAAUCUUCGUACAAUGAAACCGAAAACGAUUAAAAGAGUUCAUAGAUUUGAAAAAGGAAAAAUUCAGAAACCUUGCAAUGAUAGAGACAUUCGGUGAAGUAUGAACAAGGAUGAAGAAAACGACAACCGUGUAAGAAGCCAAAAAAAGUAUAAAAAGCGUAGACAGAGUUUUUUUUUUCUUUUGCGUCCGCACGUUUAUUUAUCUUUUAACACAGUGCAACCGUACAUGCUCACAUACACGAUUAUUCUUUUGCGUCCACAUGGUUAUUUAUCUUUUUAACAUAAUGCAACCGUGGAUGCUCACAUACAUGCAUAUACACUCGUCACUUUAAAUGUACACAUGCACACCCCAAAUUUAUGAACACCUUCAAGAUACUAAGUCGACAUCACAUCUUGAAAUUGGCGAAGACAGAGUUGUAAGUAAAGAUUUCAUGACUUUGAAUCUACAAUAAUGACACGUGAGUAUAUGCAAGUGAGUCAUAACAAAUCCGUGUAUAUAUAAUACACACACUUAUACACUUGACCCACACACAAACAACAUAGCACGUGAGUUUGGCCCCUCAUCCAAUCCGACGUGCGCAGGAACAGUAAAACACGACACAUGAGGAACGCAUGCCCGCUCCAUAGCACGUGAG
rnacentral:lncRNA from 1 species